UGGGGAAUAUUGCACAAUGGGGGAAACCCUGAUGCAGCAACGCCGCGUGGAGGAUGAAGGUCUUCGGAUUGUAAACCCCUUUGAUGAGGGACGAAAAAAAUGACGGUACCUCAAAAACAAGCCACGGCUAACUACGUGCCAGCAGCCGCGGUAAUACGUAGGUGGCAAGCGUUGUCCGGAAUUAUUGGGCGUAAAGGGCGCGUAGGCGGUCCUUUAAGUCAGAUGUGAAAACCCGAGGCUCAACUUCGGGCGUGCAUUUGAAACUGGAGGACUAGAGUGCAGGAGAGGUCAGUGGAAUUCCUAGUGUAGCGGUGAAAUGCGUAGAUAUUAGGAGGAACACCAGUGGCGAAGGCGACUUACUGGACUGUAACUGACGCUGAGGCGCGAAAGCGUGGGGAGCAGACA
rnacentral:rRNA from 1 species